UACGAAGGGGGCUAGCGUUGCUCGGAUUUACUGGGCGUAAAGGGCGCGUAGGCGGACAGUUAAGUUGGGGGUGAAAGCCCGGGGCUCAACCUCGGAAUUGCCUUCAAUACUGGCUGUCUUGAGUGUGAGAGAGGUGUGUGGAACUCCGAGUGUAGAGGUGAAAUUCGUAGAUAUUCGGAAGAACACCAGUGGCGAAGGCGACACACUGGCUCACUACUGACGCUGAGGCGCGAAAGCGUGGGGGAGCAAACAGG
rnacentral:rRNA from 1 species